GGCUUAGAUCUGAACCAUCAAACAACUUGGAUGGCUGAGAAUACAAGGAACACCCAAAACCAAUUGUCGGCAUGAUGGAGGAAGAGAAUAGAGGGAGGUAGGGUGGAGAAAGGUGGGCGUGAGAAAGGAUUGGUGUGGGCUUUUCAAGAGGGGCACAGCAAUUUUUGGCAUGAGAUAAUUUUCUCAUGAGAGUCCUUAACACUUAAGGAUCUUAUAUAGAUAAGAAGGAAUCCUAGGGCUUUAGGGUUUUGAUUGGUCAAAUCCUUAAAGCAG
rnacentral:lncRNA from 1 species